rnacentral:rRNA from 1 species
GAUGAACGCUAGCGGCAGGCUUAACACAUGCAAGUCGAGGGGUAACAUUGUAGCUUGCUACAGAUGACGACCGGCGCACGGGUGCGUAACGCGUAUAGAACCUACCUUUUACAGAGGGAUAGCCCAGAGAAAUUUGGAUUAAUACCUCAUGGUAUUGUAGAUCGGCAUCGGUUUACAAUUAAACAUUUAUGGGUAAAAGAUGGCUAUGCGUCCUAUUAGUUAGUUGGUAAGGUAACGGCUUACCAAGACAUCGAUAGGUAGGGGUCCUGAGAGGGAGAUCCCCCACACUGGUACUGAGACACGGACCAG